rnacentral:lncRNA from 1 species
UCUUCUUAAAAAUAAUUUUUUUAAAUAGAUUUAAAAAACAAAUUUUAAGAACUAAAAUUGAAAAGUGUUUCAAACAAGUCAUAAAUCUCAUGUUUUUUUUCUCACCAUAACAACUUUCACAACAUUUUCAAAUUCUACCAUAACUCCAUCAUAUUCUUAUCCUUACUCCACAAAAGCAAAGGCCUGAGACAAAAAUUUAAAUAACAUAUUUUAAUAUAAUAAA